AUUGAACGCUAGCGGCAUGCUUAACACAUGCAAGUCGAACGGUAACAGGCCUAGCUUGCUAGGUGCUGACGAGUGGCGGACGGGUGAGUAACGCGUAGGAAUCUACCUAGUAGUGGGGGAUAACCUGGGGAAACCCAGGCUAAUACCGCAUAAGCCCUAAGGGGGAAAGCAGGGGACCGUAAGGCCUUGUGCUAUUAGAUGAGCCUGCGUCAGAUUAGCUUGUUGGUGGGGUAAAGGCCUACCAAGGCGAUGAUCUGUAGCUGGUCUGAGAGGACGACCAGCCACACUGGGACUGAGACACGGCCCAGACUCCUACGGGAGGCAGCAGUGGGGAAUAUUGGACAAUGGGCGCAAGCCUGAUCCAGCAAUGCCGCGUGUGUGAAGAAGGCCUGCGGGUUGUAAAGCACUUUCAGUGGGGAGGAAGGCCUCGAUAUUAAUACUAUUGAGGAUUGACGUUACCCACAGAAGAAGCACCGGCUAACUCUGUGCCAGCAGCCGCGGUAAUACAGAGGGUGCAAGCGUUAAUCGGAAUUACUGGGCGUAAAGGGUGCGUAGGUGGUUUCUUAAGUCAGAUGUGAAAGCCCCGGGCUCAACCUGGGAAUUGCAUUUGAUACUGAGUAACUUGAGUAUGGUAGAAGGGAAGUGGAAUUUCCAGUGUUAGCGGUGAAAUGCGUANAUUUUUGGAANGAACACCAGUGGGCGAAAGCAGUGAAGCGGUGAAAUGCGUAGAUAUUGNAAGGAACCCCCAGUGGCGAAGGCGACUACNUGGGCAAAUACUGACACUGAGACACGAAAGCAUGGGGAGCAAACAGGAUUAGAUACCCUGGUAGUCCCAUGCUGUAAACUAUGAGAACUUGCUGUUGGAUGCAUAAAGGCAUUUAGUAGCGAAGCUAACGCGUUAAGUUCUCCGCCUGGGGAGUACGGUCGCAAGACUAAAACUCAAAGGAAUUGACGGGGGCCCGCACAAGCGGUGGAGCAUGUGGUUUAAUUCGAUGCAACGCGAAGAACCUUACCUACUCUUGAAUCCACAGAAUUUUGUAGAGAUACAGAAGUGCCUUCGGGAACUGUGAGACAGGUGCUGCAUGGCUGUCGUCAGCUCGUGUCGUGAGAUGUUGGGUUAAGUCCCGUAACGAGCGCAACCCUUGUCCUUAGUUACUAACGGGUUAUGCCGAGGACUCUAAGGAGACUGCCGAUGAUAAAUCGGAGGAAGGUGGGGACGAUGUCAAGUCAUCAUGGCCCUUACGAGUAGGGCUACACACGUGCUACAAUGGUCGGUACAAAAGGCCGCGAAACCGCGAGGUGGAGCAAAUCCUAUAAAGCCGAUCGUAGUCCGGAUUGGAGUCUGCAACUCGACUCCAUGAAGCUGGAAUCGCUAGUAAUCGUGGAUCAGAACGCCGCGGUGAAUACGUUCUCGGGCCUUGUACACACCGCCCGUCACACCAUGGGAGUGGGUUGCACCAGAAGUGGUUAGACUAACCGAAAGGAGGUCGAUCACCACGGUGUGAUUCAUGACUGGGGUGAAGUCGUAACAAGGUAACC
rnacentral:rRNA from 1 species